rnacentral:rRNA from 1 species
UACAUGGAUAACUGUGGUAAUUCUACAGCUAAUACACGCAGGUGGGGUGCGUUUGUUACUUCAAACCAAUUCAAGUGAUAUUGAACAAUUCACGGUCUAAGCACCGGCGACAUAUCCUUCAAAUGUCUGCCUUAUCAACUUUCGAUGGUAGAUUAUGCGCCUACCAUGGUUGUAACGGGUAACGGAGAAUCAGGGUUUGAUUCCGGAGAGGGAGCCUGAGAAACGGCUACCACAUCCAAGGAAGGCAGCAGGCACGCAAAUUACCCACUCCCGGCGGGGAGGUAGUGACGAAAAAUAACAAGCUGGUCUCAAGGCAUUGUAAUGGGAACAAUUUAAAUCAUUUAUCGAGGAUCUAUUGGAGGGCAAGUCUGGUGCCAGCAGCCGCGGUAAUUCCAGCUCCAAUAGCGUAUAUUAAAGUUGUUGCGGUUAAAAAGCUCGUAGUUGGAUCUAGAGGGCUACGGUCGUUCGCUUGGACGCUCCAGUAUUCUAUUGUUGCUCUUAAAUGAGUGACUUAGUUGCUGGAACUUUUACCUUGAAAAAAUUGAAGUGCUCAAAGCAGGUAUUUCCUGAACAUUGCUGCAUGGGAUAAUUGAAUAGGAGGUCCUAUUUUGUUGGUUUCGGGACACGAAAUAAUGAUUAAUAGGGACAGACGGGGGCAUUCGUAUUGCUUCGCUAGAGGUGAAAUUCUUGGA